rnacentral:rRNA from 1 species
UACGUAGGGUGCGAGCGUUAAUCGGAAUUACUGGGCGUAAAGCGUGCGCAGGCGGUUGGUUAAGUCUGAUGUGAAAGCCCCGGGCUCAACCUGGGAAUGGCAGUGGAUACUGGCAAGCUAGAGUGCGGUAGAGGGUAGUGGAAUUCCCGGUGUAGCAGUGAAAUGCGUAGAGAUCGGGAGGAACACCAGUGGCGAAGGCGGCUACCUGGACCAGCACUGACACUGAAGCACGAAAGCGUGGGGAGCAAACAGG